AUUUGCAAGGAACUUUCAGUGAGGAUAAUUUGACUGAGAGAGCAAGGAAAGCAAAUUUUCCAAGUGUGCGAGUGUAGAGUUGUUGUGCCACCUUAAACUACUCUUUUGCCGUGUAUGAAACCUAUGGAAACAGUAGUCAAAAGGAAUGACGAAGUCCUACUCAUUGAACUGGAAUGCCAGGGGCGACAGCGAUGUGAAUUUUCUUCUGCUUCUUCAACCUCUCCCUCAACCAAGGACUUGAAGAGCAAGGAUAUCUCAGUUUUAUAUCCUCCUGCUAAAUGAGACUGCUGGCAAGGAUCCUUAGGGAUGAACAAAAAAUGGCUGGAUGUAAACUUAUUGGAUGGCUCCUGCAAGAUGAAAAAAAGACCCGUUUUGAGGAUGAAAGAACAGCUCGAAUUCCACAGUCAAGCCUGUGCUUCUGCUGAAGUCACUGUAAGAGUGACAGCUGCAGUAAUGAAUUUCAGUAUGAAGAUUAUAUAAACAUCCUCCCAUUCCUCAAAGAACUGGUCAAGACUGUCAUGUGUUUCACACAGGCUUCUUUCAGACAUCAGGUAGCAAUUGCUUUUGGUCAUUAGUGGCCUGGACUGAUACUGAAAUGUUAACUAGUCCUAAAGGUUACA
rnacentral:lncRNA from 1 species